rnacentral:tRNA from 1 species
GGCUGAAUUUUAGGCGGUAAAUUGUAAAUUUAUUUAUGAGUAAUUCUUUUACCGUAAAAU